UCUCUCCACGCGCAGCGGUGAACGGAGGCGUCGACCGAGCCCGCCUCUCCACGCGGCAGUAACGACUGGUCCCAUCUACGUCAUCUUCGAUCCAGUCCAUCCCUCGACGUCCCCCUCUCUGUUAGACGAAUGUGGCAUCCGGACGCCGCCUUGGCUCCCUUUACAGGGAAGGUUGUUUGCAGUGAUGGGUGACAACAUAUGCGCAGGAUUUUUCUGAAGUUCAUGCUUGGGUUACAUCAGAUACACAAUGAGAAGCCCGCGGUGAGGCAGUCGUAUUCUUUUGCAACUCAUCCCCCAUAAAUGUGAUGUACAUAGAGAUGUUUCCCCAUAAAGCAAACAUGAAUAAUUUUGAAUAGAAGGGACCCGCAUUGCCUGAUGCUAUCUGAUGCCAUGAUACCACUGAAUGUGUGUAUGAGUGCUUGAAAAUUAAUGAGUAUACUAUUGUAAAAGGAUAUGACACGCAAGUCAACAAAUAUGAAAAUAUCCACGGUUGAUUUUCUUUGUCAUCUUUUUGUUGAGAAGCUUUACAGAUCAUAUUGUUUCAGAGUGAUUACAAUCAGCAUAAACAAGCUCUUCAAUGGAACUACAGAUACCAUUUCAAAAACUUUGAUAUCCAACCGAUCUGGCAAGCUUUGCCUGGGAAUCAGCAACCCUAUUCCACUCAUGGUGGGUUUGCACCACCAUACAGCCACAAAGCCAUUUCAUCAAGGUCUUUGCCUUCUGAUAAAUCGCCCAUAAUAUGGAUCUGCUCUGGUUCCUUGACGUGAGUGCAUUGGCCAUAAUCGAGCACUCCAUCUCCAGAAUCACCUACCCAGAAACAUAGUUGAGUGCAAUGUUGAUGCUCUGUAACUGCAAGGCCACCCAGCAGGCUUCAGAUUUCUCCGUGUCUUCGCAGUUCGGGAUAGGGCUGCAAGCAGCUAGCAGCAUCGAACCAUAGAUAUUCCUGGCCACCUUACCAGCAGGUCCCAAGCUGUCCUGGUUGUUGAAGGAGCUGUCGAUGCUUAUCUUCACCCAGCCCGUGGCCGGAGCCGUCCAACUAUGAGCCAAAGUUUGCUCAUCUGUGGACCUACAGGGGUAGGAAGGAACCAGCCGCCCUUUACCUUUGUGGUCACAGGGGUAUGUGGUCGACCUGUGGUCGGUGGCUCGAAUAGUGUAGAGGAGAGUGAAGGCAUUGUUUGGCAAUGUGAAUAGCUUCAGGUUCAAGUUGGGCGACAACCUCAUCAAAUUAUGAGAGAAGAUGUGGCGGAUUGGCAUGCACGGCAAGAAACGAAGAAUACCACAGGCAAAUGGCGCUAUCUGGGAGUUUUACAGUAGUAUGAAGUUUUCAGUCUGCUCCUAUUAAAAGUCAUGCAAAUUCGUAUGGAGUACCAAUUAUCUGGGUUGAUGCAGAAUGGAAGAGGAGGAGUGGGGUACCAAUCUAGAAGUUUAGUGAAUGGAACAAGUAUGUGAGUCAACCGAUGAACAACUAGAUAAGCAUUGGAGGUCACUCCAUUCUGAAUCUAGAAGGCACUGGAUGUUGUAUGAUAAAAUUGUUAACAUGAAGUCUCCUCGAGCAGAGCUCUGCUUCUUUCCUUUUAGUUCGGUGCAUCACAGCUUUCCCACUGUGCCACCAUCCAUCUUUCCCAUGUGUGAGCGUGUGGUUUCCAUAGAGGGGUGUCAAAAAUAUGAGUCAAGACUCAAGACAACAUAAACUAAGUUCUUAAUUUGCACAGACUAUUCAGUGUUCAUAUUCCCAGGAGUUCUAAAUUUUGUGGGGCAUUUUGUCAUGAAGUUGGUUCUUUGCUUCCACAAGAUGUUAUCCCAAUUUGUGGGGCGUUAUGGAAAAUGAGUUGGACCACAACAUUAAUAUAUUUGCUUCAGAUGAUGAAGACGACGAGAUUGUUAAUGUGAAUGGUCAGCUACCGUCUCAGACUCGUGGUCGUUGCCGACAGAGGGAGGAACCGGGUGACCCAAAAUUGGACGAUGUGAUCUUGCGCCCAGUUUGCCAUCGAUGGUGGCGGCGAAGGGGAGAACCGGAUCCUGUUAUAAUUAUGUCAGAAUCCUCGACAAGGAUGCUCAAUGAUUGUAAGCCUAAUUGUUUAGUUUGGCUUUCUAAUCAAGGAUGCUCUAUCUACAUGUAUUUAUUUAGUGCUUUUCCCCAUGUUGUGCUAGGUUAUAUCUGUACGUUGUUUUCCAAGUAAAAAACACUCUAAUUAUGCCUAUUUAUUUUGUAUAUUUUCUCCAUGUUGUACCAAGUUGUAUUUUUGCCGCGGUCUAUCUACUUCAGUGAUAUGUAUUGUCAUGAACUCAAGCUGCUAUACAAAGAUUUGAGAAUAGUGAUCAAGUAAUGUUAAUUUUUAAGCUUACCUGUGAACAUUCAGUUACAUAUAGUUAUCCAUGCCGUGCUGACUUCUCUGUUCUUUUUAUUUAAUUUUUCAUAUAUAGAUAGAAUAUAGUCUGAUUUUAUGUAUGUUCUAACUAUUCUUAUGGCCAUGAGCAGUUAUAGCAAAAUACUCAUAUUGUGAGCAUUUUGUGUAGUAUAUUCACACUCUAUGAGUACUUGAUCCUUUAGAAUCUUCUACUUUUCCUUAAAAAUAACUGUUAGCAUAGUAUGACAAAGCAUCAACUGCACAAGUGUACCUAUUAUAUGAUUAUAUCAGGUACUAAUUACACAAGUGUACAUAUAAGUUAUUUCUUAUACUUUCUAUAAUGGCAUGCCUUUAUCCUUUGCUCUACCGACUACAGUUUUAACGUUUCCUUAACAUUCACUUAGGCACCUUUCCUAUCUCACCAUUUGAAACUAUGGCAGCCAAAAUAAGCUCAGUGUAUAUUGGAUAUUUAAAAAAUUAUGUACAUUAGUGCUAGAGCUUGAUUUUACCAGUUUAGUAUGUCAUAAUAUAUUUUCAUCAACUUCUUUUUGGGCUAUGUAUGGUUGCUUUGGUUAACCAAAAGUUCAAAACUGAAGUAUAUUGUAAUGAAACUACAACAAAUGAACUUCGGUAAAUACCUUGCCUCAACAUUUUUCUUUAAAUGUGUUUAGUACGUUAUCUUUUCCAGCUGGCCUUUUAAUUCAUGCACCAAGCUAAUCUGUGUUUGUUUCAAUGAAACUUACAGGUUCUACGUUAUCUCGCAAAGUGACCUCACAUGACAUAAUUGCCAAGAUAGGCCUCACUGUUUAUUCAGACGGAUUACAUGAUAUGCCUAUUUAAUCACUAUAAUAGAUAUGAAAAUUAGGGGGUGAAUGGUCUUCUAUACAGCAGCUCGACAGGCCCCAAAAACUAGCAUAGUUGACAGGCUGACAAACAGUUACGUAGUAAAUCAAUGCUAAUUCAAAUAAAAUUGCGGCAGUUCACAAUCUUAGUUUAAUCAAAAAACAUGUAAGUUGGUGUGAUCAUGAACAAGUUUUCUUCGUUCCUUUAGAUUAGUCUCUUAUGAAAGUUUGUGUGACCCAACAUGGAAAUGGAAGUCAGGGAGUGGAUGAAAAAUAAACACUGAUUCAUCAUAGUCUAGCAUUAGUUUUGUCUAUAAUUCUUUAAUUCUGCAGGCCGAGAAGACUUUACCUGCAGACCCGUUCAGGCACAACCAACAUCAGGGAAGAAAGGAAGAAACAACAAGGUGGUCCACUUCAUGUGAUCAGAUUUUCCAGAGUAGUAUCUUAAUCUGGUACUGCCACUCGUGAUGUAGUAUGCGUUCUGAUGCUCUGAAGUAGAGUGUAAAAUGUAUGGUACCGUGUAGGAGCUGUGGUACAUGCAAAGCGGAUUACCGUGUCCAUAGAUCGAUCGCCAGCUUGGCAAGGUUGUUUAGUGAUUGCUAGAGAACAGAACCACGAGCUUUGCGUGUGUUUAGGUGUAAAGUUUAUUUCCGAGAAAGCAACCUCAGAUGCAUUCUGAACAUUUGCCGGUAUGAAUGCUGGUGUCAGACCGAGAACCCGUGUGUCCAUGGUCGGUCAUUUGACAUGUUUUGGGCUGUGUAGACUUUGAAGAGUCGAUCGGCGGAACCCAAUGUUUUUGGUUCUAACUGAAA